AAGUUUUAUGUUUAUAUGGAUGAUUUAUAGGUUUUGUGAUAGUUUUAAUGGAUUUUAUCAAUUUAAUAAUUUUGAGAUCCAAUCCAUCUAUGUGACCGGUUCAUGGUCGAACCAACUAUUAGACCCAAUUCGGCUAUGUAACAGAUUCAUGGUCGAACCCGGUUCAACCAUCGGGUCGGUCUGGUUUUAAAAACACUGCAGCCGACAGUUUUUUUCUUUCAUUUUUUUCUUCUUCUCUUCUCUUCCUUUUUCUCUGCGAUUUUUCUCCCUCUCUGCGACUAGUGAUUCUUUCUUUUUUUUUCUCCACCCCCACGCCAAUUCUUUUUUUACUUUUUUUUCUUGUUUUCUUCUCCUUUCUUCACCACAGAAACAAAAAUGAUUUCAAUAGAUCUACACGGUUUAAAUUGUUUAGCGGAAAAUAUGACAUAAAUAGAACAUCGACUCUGCUUAGAUAUAUGAUGAAACAACGGGAAAAGUGAUGAAAGCAGCAUCAAUGGCGAUUUCUUCUCCUGCUCGCGCUUCAAAUCUGUGCUGAACGGUGACAUAUCAACAUGACUUGACGAGGAAUGCUAGGUAUUUUUCGAUUUAGGUUUUUUUGUUAUGGAUGAUUUUUGAAUUUAAGAUUAUUAAAAAAAUUAUGGGUUUUCUAUGAUUUAUGGGUUCUUCUUGUUCUAGUAUGACUCGGUAUCUGGGUUUUAUUUAUUCAUCUACAGAUCUGAAUUCAGUACGAGUCUGGUAUACUAACUCA
rnacentral:lncRNA from 1 species